rnacentral:rRNA from 1 species
UUAUCAUUUAGAGGAAGGAGAAGUCGUAACAAGGUUUCCGUAGGUGAACCUGCGGAAGGAUCAUUGUCGAAACCUGCCUAGCAGAACGACCCGAGAACACGUCCCAACACACGGGGGCGGAGGGUCUUGCGGCCCCUCGUCCCUUUUAUCCCGGAGGGCGAGUGUCCUUGCGGUUUGCGCUCCGGCCCUUCCGCUUGGCCUUUCCUUUCGGGCGUACCGAACACCGGCGUGAAUUGCGCCAAGGAACUUGAAUGAAAGAGCGUUCCCCCGCCGUCCCGGAGACGGUGAUUGUGCGGGUGGUUCGUCGUCUUCAAUAUGUCUAAACGACUCUCGGCAACGGAUAUCUCGGCUCUCGCAUCGAUGAAGAACGUAGCGAAAUGCGAUACUUGGUGUGAAUUGCAGAAUCCCGUGAACCAUCGAGUCUUUGAACGCAAGUUGCGCCCGAAGCCAUUAGGCCGAGGGCACGUCUGCCUGGGCGUCACACGUCGUUGCCCCCCCCCAAAACCCCUAUCGGGGUCGGGCGGGGCGGACGAUGAUCUCCCGUGUGCCGGUCACGCGGUUGGUCUAAAUAUCAAGUCCUCGGCGACCAACGCCACGACAAUCGGUGGUUGUCAAACCUCGGUGUCCUGCCGUGAGCGUGUCCGUCGCGGGCUUGCACAAACACUAUGCGUCGGUAAUCCGACGCUUUCAACGCGACCCCAGGUCAGGCGGGGUUACCCGCUGAAUUUAAGCAUAUCAAUA